rnacentral:rRNA from 1 species
GAUGAACGCUGGCGGCGUGCCUAAUACAUGCCAGUCGAGCGAACGGACGAGAAGCUUGCUUCUCUGAUGUUAGCGGCGGACGGGUGAGUAACACGUGGAUAACCUACCUAUAAGACUGGGAUAACUUCGGGAAACCGGAGCUAAUACCGGAUAAUAUUUUGAACCGCAUGGUUCAAUAGUGAAAGACGGUCUUGCUGUCACUUAUAGAUGGAUCCGCGCUGCAUUAGCUAGUUGGUAAGGUAACGGCUUACCAAGGCAACGAUGCGUAGCCGACCUGAGAGGGUGAUCGGCCACACUGGAACUGAGACACGGUCCAGACUCCUACGGGAGGCAGCAGUAGGGAAUCUUCCGCAAUGGGCGAAAGCCUGACGGAGCAACGCCGCGUGAGUGAUGAAGGUCUUCGGAUCGUAAAACUCUGUUAUUAGGGAAGAACAUAUGUGUAAGUAACUGUGCACAUCUUGACGGUACCUAAUCAGAAAGCCACGGCUAACUACGUG